rfam:Schistosoma rodhaini strain Burundi genome assembly, scaffold: SROB_scaffold0000074
AUCCAGCUGACAAGUCGCGAAUAGGACGAAACGCGCAUCUUGGAU